rnacentral:rRNA from 1 species
GAUGAACGCUGGCGGCAGGCUUAACACAUGCAAGUCGAGCGGGGUGAUGGUGCUUGCACUAUCACUUAGCGGCGGACGGGUGAGUAAUGCUUAGGAAUCUGCCUAUUAGUGGGGGACAACAUCUCGAAAGGGAUGCUAAUACCGCAUACGUCCUACGGGAGAAAGCAGGGGAUCACUUGUGACCUUGCGCUAAUAGAUGAGCCUAAGUCGGAUUAGCUAGUUGGUGGGGUAAAGGCCUACCAAGGCGACGAUCUGUAGCGGGGCUGAGAGGAGGAGCCGCCACACUGGGACUGAGACACGGCCCAGACUCCUACGGGAGGCAGCAGUGGGGAAUAUUGGACAAUGGGGGGAACCCUGAUCCAGCCAUGCCGCGUGUGUGAAGAAGGCCUUAUGGUUGUAAAGCACUUUAAGCGAGGAGGAGGCUCUUUUGGUUAAUACCCAGAAUGAGUGGACGUUACUCGCAGAAUAAGCACCGGCUAACUCUGUGCCAGCCGCCGCGGUAA